CAGCCGCCGCGGUAAUACCGGCGGCCCGAGUGGCGGCCACUAUUAUUGGGCUUAAAGCGUCCGUAGCCGGGUUGGUUAGUCUCCCGGGAAAUCUGGCCGCUUAACGGUCAGAAUUCCGGGAGAUACUGCCAGCCUAGGGACCGGGAGAGGCCGAGGGGAUUCCCGGAGUAGGGGUGAAAUCCUAUAAUCCCGGGAGGUCCACCUGUGGCGAAGGCGCUCGGCUGGAACGGGUCCGACGGUGAGGGACGAAGGCCAGGGGAGCAAACCGGAUUAGAUACCCGGGUAGUCCUGGCUGUAAACGAUGCGGACUUUGUGUCGGACAAGCUAUGAGCUUGUCCGGUGCCGGAGGGAAACCGUUAAGUCCGCCGCCUGGGGAGUACGGCCGCAAGGCUGAAACUUAAAGGAAUUGGCGGG
rnacentral:rRNA from 1 species